rnacentral:lncRNA from 1 species
CGGGGGCUCGCGCCAGCCACGAGGGAGCGUCCGCGGCCCGCGCGCCCGCGCGGCGGAGGAGAGGUGUUAAGUGUGAUGCUUCCAUAAUACAUUUGGAUGCUGUCAGCUAAGUUCACUUCUGAACUAAGGGGUUCCUCCAAAUGUUGGCUGAAAUUCAUCCCAAGGCUGGUCUGCAAAGUCUGCAAUUCAUAAUGGAGCUACUGUACUGGCUAUUGGAAGGAGGAGAUUCUGAAGAUAAGGAGAUUCAGCCGUUGGUCUUUGAAAUUUCCUGUGAUGUGUUUCAAUCUAGAUGCAAAGAACAUGGAAAAAUCAAAGUGCUCGAGUGGUUUAAAUAUGUUUUGGGUAUUCCUGUUUAUAGACUAUAAUACUUUUCCAAUUAAAAUCCUCAGUUGUCACGCAGAAGAAGGUUAAGCUGUAUUUGAUUGCCAGUUUUACUGAAAAUGCUUAGUAUUUUACAGUAUCACCAAAUAUAUUUUGUUUAGCCAAGGUAUAGGAAAAAUAAAAUAAAUUGUAUAGGUUGACUUUUUUCUAAAAUGUCUUUAUUGGAUUGAAUGAAUGUUUAUACCUGAAAAAAAAAGGUUCAAAAAAA